rnacentral:rRNA from 1 species
UACGAAGGGGGCUAGCGUUGUUCGGAAUUACUGGGCGUAAAGCGCACGUAGGCGGUUUGCUAAGUCAGGGGUGAAAUCCUGGAGCUCAACUCCAGAACUGCCUUUGAUACUGCAAAUCUCGAGUCCGGAAGAGGUGAGUGGAAUUCCUAGUGUAGAGGUGAAAUUCGUAGAUAUUAGGAAGAACACCAGUGGCGAAGGCGGCUCACUGGUCCGGUACUGACGCUGAGGUGCGAAAGCGUGGGGAGCAAACAGG